rnacentral:piRNA from 1 species
UGAGCUUCAACCAUGCUUGUUGCCUGAGC